AAGAUGGGAUGCUCCCAUUUUCUUCCUUUGGAAACUGUAAUGGGUAAACAGGUAUCAGAUUGUAGUAACAAGAGGAGCAUAUUAAGGAUCAAAGCAAAGCCUGAGGAUGAUAGGUGCAUAAAAAUACGUUUGUUAUCCAUUGCAGGACUUUUACAGGACAGAUGGCUUCUCAAAUUCUGCAUCCAGGCAGAUAAGGAAAAGAUUUCAGCACAGAAGAGGAUUAACUGCAGCACAGGAACAGAAAUGAACAGUCAGUGUUUAAAGGAAAUACAAGAACUUCUAUGCCUUACUGUCAGAGAAAAAUGUCAGGAGGUCUGGAAGACUUCUGGACCAUUACUGCUUCUGACUUCCUCUCUCUGUGAGCAAAGGGUUAUCACAGGUCAACUGCAGAGUGUAAAGUGUGGCAGCAAAUUGUGGGGCAAACAGGAAAGCAAGCUAAUGCUGUCUACUGUUUUCACAACAAAAAAAGUCAGAAAUAUCAUAAACACUGAAAGACAUCUUGAAUAA
rnacentral:lncRNA from 1 species